rnacentral:rRNA from 1 species
UACGGGGGGGGCAAGCGUUGUUCGGAAUUACUGGGCGUAAAGGGCUCGUAGGCGGCCAACUAAGUCAGACGUGAAAUCCCUCGGCUUAACCGGGGAACUGCGUCUGAUACUGGAUGGCUUGAGUUUGGGAGAGGGAUGCGGAAUUCCAGGUGUAGCGGUGAAAUGCGCAGAUAUCAGGAGGAACACCAAUUGCGAAGGCAGCUCGCUGGGACGUUACUGACGCUGAGACGCGAAAGCGUGGGGAGCAAACAGG